rnacentral:rRNA from 1 species
GACGAACGCUGGCGGCGUGCUUAACACAUGCAAGUCGAACGAAGUGGCGAACGGGUGAGUAACGCGUAAUCAACCUGCCCUUCAGCGGGGGACACCAGUGGGAAACGACUGCUAAUACCGCAUACUGAAGGAGGGGAUUGCGUUGGAUUAGCUAGUUGGAGGGGCAAAGGCCCACCAAGGCGAUGAUCAGUAGGCGGUCUGGGAGGAGGAACGGGAAAAUGGGGAAGUGAGCACGGCCCAGACCACUACGGGAGGGAGACGGUGGGAAACGUCGGCAAUGGAGGGAAGGCUGACGGAGGAACGGCGGGUGGGUGAUGACGGGCUUCGGGUUGGAAAGCUCUGUUAAUCGGGACGCGGUACCGGAAUAGAAAGCCACGGCUAACUACGUGCCAGCAGCCGCGGUAAUUC